AUACGGAGGCUCCAAGCGUUAUCCGGAUUCAUUGGGUUUAAAGGGUCCGCAGGCGGGAAAAUAAGUCAGUGGUGAAAGCCUACAGCUCAACUGUAGAACUGCCAUUGAUACUGUUUUUCUUGAGUAUAGAUGAAGUGGGCGGAAUAUAUCAUGUAGCGGUGAAAUGCAUAGAUAUGAUAUAGAACACCGAUUGCGAAGGCAGCUCACUAAACUAUUACUGACGCUCAGGGACGAAAGCGUGGGGAGCGAACAGGAUUAGAAACCCUAGUAGUCC
rnacentral:rRNA from 1 species